AAUGUAUCCAGCUUUAUCUGAAACUUUCAGUCAGUUAUACAAAACUUUUUCAGUUUGUAGUGAAACUAGUGUUGGUUUUGUGGUAAAUAAAGGUCUACUGAAUCAGAUCGAAAAUGACUCUGCAUUUGUCUUGACUCAGGUAUUAGUAUAAUAGAGACAGGUAUUAGUUUCAACAAUCAAACCAAGCAAGAAACUUUCAC
rnacentral:lncRNA from 1 species